CCUGACUGCUAUCGGAUUGAUACUAAGCCAUGCGAGUCUUUGCAGUAAUGCAAGGCAUACGGCUCAGUAACACGUAGUCAACUUACCCUAUGGACGAGGAUAAUCUCGGGAAACUGAGCAUAAUACUCGAUAGAUCAUAAUGCCUGGAAUGGUUUAUGGUUGAAAUGAUUCGUCGCCAUAGGAUGGGACUGCGGCCUAUCAGCUUGUUGGUGAGGUAAUGGCCCACCAAGGCGAUUACAGGUACGGGCUCUGAGAGGAGAAGCCCGGAGAUGGGUACUGAGACAAGGACCCAGGCCCUAUGGGGCGCAGCAGGCGAGAAAACUUUGCAAUGUGCGAAAGCACGACAAGGUUAAUCCGAGUGAUUUCUGCUAAAGAAAUCUUUUGCAAGUCAUAAAACCACUAGUGAAUAAGGGGUGGGCAAGUUCUGGUGUCAGCCGCCGCGGUAAAACCAGCACCUCAAGUGGUCAGGAGGAUUAUUGGGCCUAAAGCAUCCGUAGCCGGCUCUGUAAGUUUUCGGUUAAAUCCAUGUGCUCAACGCAUGGGCUGCCGAAAAUACUGCAGUGCUAGGAAGUGGGAGAGGUAGACGGUACUUGAUAGGAAGGGGUAAAAUCCUUUGAUCUAUCGAUGACCACCUGUGGCGAAGGCGGUCUACCAGAACACGCUCGACGGUGAGGGAUGAAAGCUGGGGGAGCAAACCGGAUUAGAUACCCGGGUAGUCCCAGCUGUAAACGAUGCAGACUCGAUGAUGCAUUGGCAUAUAGCCAGUGCAGUGUCGCAGGGAAGCCGUUAAGUCUGCCGCCUGGGAAGUACGUACGCAAGUAUGAAACUUAAAGGAAUUGGCGGGGGAGCAAAAGAAGGGGUGAAGCCUGCGGUUC
rnacentral:rRNA from 1 species